CUGGAAUGGCUUAUGGUCUAAACAGUUUACUGCCAUGGGAUGGGACUGCGGCCUAUCAGCUUGUUGGUGAGGUAAUGGCCCACCAAGGCUAUAACAGGUACGGGCUCUGAGAGGAGAAGCCCGGAGAUGGGUACUGAGACACGGACCCAGGCCCUAUGGGGCGCAGCAGGCGAGAAACCUUAGCAAUGUGCGAAAGCACGACUGGGUCAGUCCGAGUGAUUCCUGAUAAAGGAGUCUUUUAUCUGUCCUAAAAGCACAGGUGAAUAAGGGGUGGGCAAGUCUGGUGUCAGCCGCCGCGGUAAUACCAGCACCUCGAGUGGUCAGAACGUUUAUUGGGCCUAAAGCAUCCGUAGCCGGCUUUGCAAGUCUUCGGUUAAAUCCACCUGCUCAACAGAUGGGCUGCUGGAGAUACUACAAAGCUAGGGAGUGGGAGAGGCAGACGGUAUUCAGUGGGUAGGGGUAAAAUCCUCUGAUCCAUCGAGGACCACCAGUGGCGAAGGCGGUCUGCCAGAACACGUACGACGGUGAGGGAUGAAAGCUGGGGGAGCAAACCGGAUUAGAUACCCGGGUAGUCCCAGCUGUAAACGAUGCAAACUCGGUGAUGCAUUGGCUUAUGGCCAAUGCAGUGCCGCAGGGAAGCCGUUAAGUUUGCCGCCUGGGAAGUACGGACGCAAGUCUGAAACUUAAAGGAAUUGGCGGGGGAGCACCACAAGGGGUGAAGCCUGCGGUUCAAUUGGACUCAACGCCGGU
rnacentral:rRNA from 1 species